rnacentral:lncRNA from 12 species
AUCUGCUUUUGCAGUUGUUGGGAGAUACAGAAACAGGAAGCCAAAUAGUCUAAGGGAGUUUUGUUUCGUUUCCUGGGAGAAGAACUACCUAGAAACUGGUCCUUUUUACCACCCAGUUUACAGAGUUUCCUGAGAUUAGUAAUAUCUUGCGUUUGAAUGAUGCUUCAAAAUUUUUUCUUAAAGGUCUGUGUUAUAUUUUGGCUCAUUUUAACACCUAUUUUAUAAUAAAACUAAAGCUCAGAGAGGCAAAAACUUGCCCAAUUGUUACAUUCAGUAAAUGUGACCUCAUAUUUGGGUAUCUAGGCUUUCCAAUUCCACAAGCUGUCUUCACAGACAGAAGACAAAGGACUACCCCACCGAGAGGAGGAAAGACAAGCAACUGGGUUUCUAGUACUGUGACUUCAUGGUGAAGUGACUCAGUAACCAUUAAAUGAAUACAACAAUGAAGUGGUUAUGGCAUCACAAGUAUCCAAGAAGAACUUGCAUUCACCACAAAGUCUUUACGGAAAUGAUCAUAAAUGAAGAUCAUUCCAACAGGGUCAACUUUCUCCACAGGAAGAUGUAAUUGGGGGUUGUAUUACAUAAGAAAGAAUAAUACCAAGCAAAUUGUAGUUUUGAACACAUGGGCAAAGCAAAGACAUGACAAUUAUAAAUGGAUAUAAUUAAUGUGUUAUGCUCUAAGUUCUAUAAGACAUAUAUACAUGUUCUAAAUAUAUUUGCAUUUUAAUGUAAUGUGAAGUAAAUAAAACCACUGAAUAUUAAAUUUGACA